ACUGUAUGAAAAGUGUGUAUACAGAUGUGAUACAAAGACAAGAUCUUCCUCCAUAUUUUGCUUUUUCUUUGUAAAAAAACUGUUAGUAUUUUAACCACUUUUCUUCGGUCGAGUUUGGCCUUAGAUAGUUGUUGGGCUUCUUCAAGUUUCAGAAUAUGCCAACAUAGUGAACUGUAUGAAAAUUGUGUAUACAGAUGUGAUACAAAGACAAGAUCUUCCUCUAUAUAAUUGAUUUUGCUUUUUCUUUGUAAAAAAAGCUGUUAGUCUUUUAACCACUUUUCUUAGUUUGACCUUAGAUAGUUGUUGGGCGUCUUCGACUAUUGUUAAUUCCAUAAUUUUUCCAGUCAAUUAUUAUUUGAUCAGGGUACUGUUUGCUGAUUCAUAAAAGUUUUCGGGAUGGUUUCCGAUUCAGUCGUAACAUCGUAAGUUCAAAUAAUUA
rnacentral:lncRNA from 1 species